rnacentral:lncRNA from 1 species
GGUGUCUGUAUCUCGGCUGAGGAUUUUUGGGGGCGAAAUGGCCCAAUGCUCAGCCUGAGUAUUUAUCCAUCCGUUCAUCUUGGGAAGCACUUAGGAGGGUGAGGCUUGACAAAGUGCUAUGAUUAUACUUAAGCACUUUUUUUUCCUCAACUCCAGAUGUACAGUGUGUGCAGUGAUCACAAAGGGGAGUACAAAAAAAGCGAAGCGUUGGUGUGGAGCAGGACACAGAGAGGUGUGUCGCUGCAGCGGCUCCGGUCCAGGGUACGACACCAGAGCUCCCAGAGGAACGUCAAACAGCACGGCCACUGAGGCUCACCCUGUUCCACAUAACAGAGAUUUUUACUUAACUUGGAUCACGAACCCCCCCUCUGAGGACCGACAGCAGCCCCCUGCCCCCUCUUGGGAUUCGAACCAUCAGCCUCUGUGGAACACAAAAGUGACUCUUCCUGCAGGCACUGCUGGGCUGCAGGUAAUUGCCCUGCUGGGUGAAUUGAGGUUACCGCAGUACUCCAAACCGCACUGCCACACAUUUGGCUGCAUAAAUUCUUAAUGUGCAAAUUGUUAAAAGCUAUGCAAAUUGCCCCGGAGGAGGGUAUCAGCUUUGCAAAUAAAUUAUGUAUCGUUCCUGUUCCCA